GUGGGGAAUAUUGGACAAUGGGCGAAAGCCUGAUCCAGCCAUGCCGCGUGUGUGAAGAAGGUCUUCGGAUUGUAAAGCACUUUAAGUUGGGAGGAAGGGCAGUAAGUUAAUACCUUGCUGUUUUGACGUUACCGACAGAAUAAGCACCGGCUAACUUCGUGCCAGCAGCCGCGGUAAUACGAAGGGUGCAAGCGUUAAUCGGAAUUACUGGGCGUAAAGCGCGCGUAGGUGGUUUUGUAAGUUGGGGGUGAAAGCCCCGGGCUCAACCUGGGAACUGCCUCCAAAACUGCAUGACUAGAGUACGGUAGAGGGUAGUGGAAUUUCCUGGGUAGCGGUGAAAUGCGUAGAUAUAGGAAGGAACACCAGUGGAGAAGGCGACUACCUGGACUGAUACUGACACUGAGGUGCGAAAGCGUGGGGAGCAAACAGGAUUAGAAACCCCAGUAGUCC
rnacentral:rRNA from 1 species